GCCUGGGUGGCUCAGUCGGUUAAGCGUCUGACUUCGGCUCAGGUCAUGAUCUUGUGGUUCGUGGGUUCGAGCCCCACAUCGGACU
rnacentral:tRNA from 1 species